rnacentral:misc_RNA from 1 species
UCUCCGUUGGUGAACCAGCGGAGGGAUCAUUACCGAGUUUACAAUUCCCAAACCCAAUGUGAACCAUACCAAACUGUUGCCUCGGCGGGGUCACGCCCCGGGUGCGUCGCAGCCCCGGAACCAGGCGCCCGCCGGAGGGACCAACCAAACUCUUUCUGUAGUCCCCUCGCGGACGUUAUUUUUACAGCUCUGAGCAAAAAUUCAAAAUGAAUCAAAACUUUCAACAACGGAUCUCUUGGUUCUG